rnacentral:rRNA from 1 species
AGAGGCGAUGAAGGACGUGCUAAUCUGCGAUAAGCGUCGGUAAGGUGAUAUGAACCGUUAUAACCGGCGAUUUCCGAAUGGGGAAACCCAGUGUGUUUCGACACACUAUCAUUAACUGAAUCCAUAGGUUAAUGAGGCGAACCGGGGGAACUGAAACAUCUAAGUACCCCGAGGAAAAGAAAUCAACCGAGAUUCCCCCAGUAGCGGCGAGCGAACGGGGAGCAGCCCAGAGCCUGAAUCAGUGUGUGUGUUAGUGGAAGCGUCUGGAAAGGCGCGCGAUACAGGGUGACAGCCCCGUACACAAAAAUGCACAUGCUGUGAGCUCGAUGAGUAGGGCGGGACACGUGGUAUCCUGUCUGAAUAUGGGGGGACCAUCCUCCAAGGCUAAAUACUCCUGACUGACCGAUAGUGAACCAGUACCGUGAGGGAAAGGCGAAAAGAACCCCGGCGAGGGGAGUGAAAAAGAACCUGAAACCGUG